UACGUGAUCCCCAAGCGUUAUCCGGAUUUAUUGGGCGUAAAGCGCUCGUAGGUGGCUAUUUAAGUCCCUGGUUAAAUGCUCACGGCUCAACCUUGAGAAUGCCAGAGAUACUACUUAGCUAGAGGACGUUAGGGGCUGAUGGAACGGUAGGUGUAGGGGUGAAAUCCGUUGAUAUCUACCGGAACACCGAAAGCGAAGGCAUUCAGCUGGGGCGAUCCUGACACUGAGGAGCGAAAGCGUGGGUA
rnacentral:rRNA from 1 species